CCCGCUGCCCGCUCCCCGCUCCCGCAACGCGCCCGCGGGUGGGUGCCGCGGCCUCCGCCCGGGGAAGAUGGAACAUCAUCUUUUAAAUAACCAAUGUGUGGAUUGAAUGAAGUUAAAGAUGUUUCUUUCUUUCAUGGUUUUAUAAAAUCAUUAUUUACUUUUUUGAAGAAUCAUGAGUAGUAGCUGCAGAGACAAAAGAUCCUUUGUAUGUUAUAAGUGAUAUUUUGACUAAGUGCUCUUGGUUGAUUCUGGCUGUGGAAUUUCCCUGCUUACAAAGUGAUUUUGAAGGGCUGCUUAAUCAAACCAAUAUUUUUCAUCUUUCUAUCAUAACACUUUUGAUAUAUUGCAGAUAAAGUAAAUUUUCAUGCUUUCAUUCCACAUACUUACCAAAAUUUGCAACUGUAUUGUGUGGACAGUGAUCACAGAAUGCAAAUGGAUUUGUUUUAAAUAAAGUACUCAGUGACAGUUGGUGCCUCACACA